rnacentral:rRNA from 1 species
AUGCGUCCAUGCCUCCCCAUCUACCGUGCUGGAGUAGCCGCCUCCUGGUUGAGGUAUCGCACUGCCACCGCUGCCGCUGCCUGGGUCCCUCCUCUCGCUCCUGCCGAGGUCGCAUGUUCGUCGAGGCAUCAAGACACGUCGGUUUUCUUUUCUUUUUCCCUAUUUCUGUUCUUCCACUUGUUUCUUCUUCCUGGACCUCCCUGUCAACUGAAAUUGCAGGCUGAGGUGAGCACCAUGAGGAAGAGGAGGUCAGUGGCUGAUAUAGAGAGCUCCUCGAACGGGGAAGUAGCAGUUCUGGAGGAACUCGAAGAUGCCAUUUUUCAGUUUUGA